rnacentral:rRNA from 1 species
UAACACGUGGAUAAUCUGCCCUUCAUGGGGAACAACUAUCCGAAAGGAUAGCUAAUACCGCAUAAGACCACAAGUACCGAGGUACAAGGGGUUAAAGGAGCAAUUCGCUGAAGGAUGAGUCCGCGCAGGAUUAGCUAGUUGGUGGGGUAAAGGCCUACCAAGGCGACGAUCCUUAGCUGGUCUGAGAGGAUGAUCAGCCACACUGGAACUGAGACACGGUCCAG